rnacentral:rRNA from 1 species
GACGAACGCUGGCGGCGUGCUUAACACAUGCAAGUCGAACGAAGAGCGACGGAAGUUUGCUUCCAUCAAUCUUAGUGGCGAACGGGUGAGUAGCGCGUAAUAAACCUGUACUUCAGUGGGGGACAACAGUUGGAAACGACUGAUAAUACCGCAUACGAUCUAAUCUCGGCAUCGAGGAUGGAUGAAAGGUGGUCUUUACAUGUAAGCUAUCAUUGACGGAGCGGUAUGGGGCUGAUUAGCUAACUGGUGGGGUAACGGCCGAACAAAGCGAAGAUCAGUAGCCCGUCUGAGAGGAUGAACGGCCACAUUGGGACUGGGGCACGGCCCAGGCUCCUACGGGAGGCAGCAGUUGGGAAUCUUCCGCAAUGGACGGAAGUCUUACGGGGCAACGCCGCGUGAGUGAUGACAGCCUUCGGGUUGUAAAGCUCUUUUAAUCGGGACGAAAGACCUUCUUGCGAAUAGUGAGAAGGAUUGACGGUACCGAAAUAGAAAGCCACGGCUAACUACGUG